GAAUAUUGGACAAUGGGCGAAAGCCUGAUCCAGCAAUGCCGCGUGUGUGAAGAAGGCCUUCGGGUUGUAAAGCACUUUAAGCAGGGAAGAAAAAGCACGACCUAACACGUCGAGCCUUGACGGUACCUGCAGAAUAAGCACCGGCUAACUCUGUGCCAGCAGCCGCGGUAAUACAGAGGGUGCAAGCGUUAAUCGGAUUUACUGGGCGUAAAGCGUGCGUAGGCGGUUCAGUAUGUCGGUCGUGAAAUCCCCGGGCUUAACCUGGGAACUGCGGCCGAAACUGCUGGGCUAGAGUGUGGUAGAGGGCGGUGGAAUUCCGGGUGUAGCGGUGAAAUGCGUAGAGAUCCGGAGGAACAUCAAUGGCGAAGGCAGCCGCCUGGGCCACAACUGACGCUGAGGUACGAAAGCGUGGGGAGCAAACAGG
rnacentral:rRNA from 1 species